rnacentral:misc_RNA from 1 species
GAUGAAGAACGCAGUGAAAUGCGAUAAGUAAUGUGAAUUGCAGAAUUCAGUGAAUCAUCGAAUCUUUGAACGCACAUUGCGCCCGCCAGUAUUCUGGCGGGCAUGCCUGUUCGAGCGUCAUUUCAACCAUCAAGCCCCCGGCUUGUGUUGGGGACCUGCGGCUGCCCGCAGGCCCUGAAAACCAGUGGCCGUCUCGCUGUCACACCGAGCGUAGUAAGCAUUAUCUCGCUCAGGGCGUGCUGCGGGUUCCGGCCGUUAAAUGAAAAGCCUUCGUAGCCCAAGGUUGACCUCGGAUCAGGUAGGAAGACCCGCUGAACUUAAGCAUAUCAAUAAGCGGAGGA